CAGCUUACCUCCCCAACUUUCUUUCUCAUCAACUUGAUUCCAUAGCAAACAAACCUUCCAUCUUGGUCCUGGCCCAGCUCUGCUUUCUCUCAGCCCAGGAGAGCGUGCCUUCAGCACAGACCAGCGCCAAGAGGGAGACGGGACUGCUGAGAGCUGGAAACGGGAUCCCACUCGAACACCCACGCCCCACAGAUCCCGGGUAUCCCGGAAGCAGUGCCGGCGUGCUUCCUGGGGAUUUGUGAGAUGCUUUCACCUGGGCUGGGGAGCCUCGGGGACAAUCACCGAUCAAAAUCAGCUGACUGUGCUCAGCUGCCCGUUAUGGAACGCCUCUGGGUCACGCAGCUGCCUGCACCUGAGCUACCCUCUCGGCGUUGCAAGCCCGCAGAUGGACCCUAAGAAGCCGGUGGCUGCUGAAGACCUUUGCCGUGAUUUUCAGCCGGAGACACUGCCAGCUGGUCCGAGACGACCUCGGGCUGCCCGCAGAGCUGCCGCAGCAUGGCGGGGAUGCUUUGCUAACGCUGCAGGAUGUAUUAACGGAAGAGAAAUGAGGCUCUUUCACGACGGGUCCCUGAGUUGUUUGGGGGAGGGUUGCAUCAAUCUGCCGGCAAUGCUUAGUAGUAAUAAAUGGGUUUAUGAUAUGCAUCUGGCUUGGUGGAGCCUGGGGGCUCGGACCACGUAAGGCUGGCCACGUGGCUUCAAUAAGCCUGCAGGACUGGCUCGCUCUAAGAGACUCCCACCACGAAUAGACUUUGGGUUCCUUCUGCUCAGGUUCUCUGCAUGUACACCGGUGAGGAUGUGGGACCUGUGUGACUCAGCAACGGGAGGACAAAGAAGAACUGCUCCUGAGAGUGCCAGACCCCUCCCCCUCUCCUGUGUCACACCCAGUGCCUGUGACAAGACUGAGAGUGACACUUCUGAAUCCUGUGAGCCCUGUCAGCAGCAGAGCGUUGAAGGUAAUUAAUGUGCAAUUAACACACAUUAUCUUUCGAUGCACCUUCAUGGUCUAUUCUUCAUGUCACCUAAACCGUCUGCUUGCUAAGUGCACUUGGUCGUUGGCGAUCAGUCUGGUGACCCGGAAAUGGGAAGGAAGGCUCGUUACCAGGGGAAUACUGAGGGCUCUCGGUUGUAAUUCUGUGGCCUCCAUAAACACACCGAAGAGAAUGCAGGUGAUUUGCUCAACCAGCACAUAAAUUGGAAAAGCACAAAGCCUCUCCCGCAGGGAAUCUGUCUACAGGGAAGUGAGCGGGGACACCGGAGAGCAGCUUUCUCAGGAGGAAGGCAGCUGGGAAGAGAGACGAGCACCGGGACAGAGCCCCGUGGAUGGGACAGAGGGAUGCACUCCGAGACCUGAAGAGGGAACCGCAGACUCUGCUGGGUAAGCAUAUGUACUUAAAAAAUAAUGAUUUAAUGAGGUGAAAUUCAUACAA
ensembl:lncRNA